AUGUUUAAGGCGGUUCCCUGAGCUAGAAGGCGAAAAAUGUCCUUAUAUGAUCAUGUUUUUCUAAGAGGCGUUGAUAUUCGUAGACGUGGAAAAAAAAUAUGUAGUUCUUGACUAUAUUAUCUUUAAUAUCUUAGCUUCCGAUACACGAAUUAUGCCACUUCGCUUGAUACAAUUAAUUCCCAAAGUAACCUCUAACUCGGACUUUUAAUCCAACUUUACUCGGUUAUUUAUUAUGUGAUACUAUAAACAAAAAAAAAACAAAAACAAUCUUAACUUAAAUUAUAAUUUCAUAGCUUUCGAAUUUCGAUAUUGUAAGGUAACGUUUUAAAAAUCAUUAAAAAUCGACAAAAUUCGUUCAAAAAUGACACUGGCGCGCAUGAUCUUUCUUGCGAAAUGUGACAGUGACAGCGGCAAACCGAUGGAACGGCCUUAAGUUGAAUAUAUAUGGAGCAGAUCUGCUCCUAAGCAUACGAAAGGUUCAAUAUGGCUUAAGAGGAAAGGGGACGGUCGCUGCUCCAUACAAGUGUAGUCCCCAUUUUCCUCUCUGGAUAUUGACAUUAUGAAAAAUAUUUUUACAUAAUUUGACUUGAAUACUUACCAUAGCUAUGCCCCUACGUUUAAAUCUGUUUCAUUUAUUGAUUACUGUAAAAAUGAGGAGCGAAAAACAGAUUUCAUACAAAUUUUUGAAAUGCUCCUAACUCUUAUAAUAAUUAAAAAUUGAACGUAGGGACAUAGCUGUAGUUGAUAUGCAUCUAACUGUGUCAGAAUAUUUCCAAUAAUGUUAAUAUCCAGAGAGGAAAAUGAGGAUUACGUUUGUAUGAAAAGGUCAUUUCACGGAGGUCCUCCACCUUCGUAUUAAAGGACUCUCAUCCAGGCCAAAAUUGUUUAAAAAAAACAUUCAAUUUUUUUUGGCAGUGUCCAGACAAAGUAUUUACAUUUGCAUUCUCGAAAAUGGAUAUUCGUACUGUGAAAUGUUGACGAAAAUCUUCAGCAACUAUCUGAACUACAGUUGUGCAUUAAUUAUUUUCCAUCGUAUUUUCACGGAAACGUACGAAUUUAUCUUGCUAUUUCAGUCAGUCUCAGUACAAAAAGUACUGAGGUUGACUGAAGUAGCAUGACAAAUACGAACGUUUCCGAGAAAAUACGAUGGAAACCAAUUAUGCACUACAACUGUAUCUCUAUACUAGUUUUCACUGUAGUACCAUAUGACGUUUAUUAUAUGAAUACGAAUUAUAAAAAUAUAUGAAUACGCCAGCCUUUCAGCACAAUACAUGUCCAGUAUUUAUAAGUUGUUGUUAUACUUAUACGUAAAGCCUGACCAGGAAUAUAUGAUCACGCGCCAUGUUGCGGAAUUUCACUGGAACUAAUUUUUUCAUACUAUACUGAACUGUCACUCUAUACAUGAGAAUGAACAGCGCCCUCUUGACAAUGAUCAUAUAUUACUGGUCAGGCUUUACUAGCAGUGGAAUGGUACAGGUCGAUUUAUAAGGACCAGUUGCACCAACCACAAUUAACAGACUGAUCAACGUCAAGCAAGCAGAGAACUAUGAAACUUCCUACAAUAAAAUUUAGCGAACGCUAAAACGGUGACAGACGGUUUGGUGCAACCCGACCACGAGAUUUGUACUAAUUUAACAAUAUUUUUAUAAACACUGCGCUCUUGUGAAUCGAUGUGUAGCCAGUUAUCAACUAGAUACGAUUCGCAUGUCGCUUCGAUGUUUGAGCGAGACAACGCUAUGCGCGUAUUAAAGCGACAUCCCGCUCGCACAUCGGCGCGACGUGCGAACCGCACAGUUAAAAGUCAAACGAGCACAAAAUUGGUCGCUUUUCGCCAUUUCUGAAUAGGCAACCUGAACCUUACUGUAAUAACUACAAGGUUCAAAAUGAAAUAAUUAGAUUUGUUUGAAAGCUGAUGGUUAUUUCUCAUAAUUUCGGAUUGAGAUCGCUUUAGCGCUCGAUGAGUUGUCUCUGUAUGUUUUAUUGGAAUAGACAAGGAUAUAAUGAAACUGAUUAUGCGCUUAGCUGUAGUGAGUUUCGAGGUCGAGAGAGCAUGGAAAGAAGAAAUGGUAAUGUCUGUUUUCAGCGGAGAAUUGAUCACAUUUAUGACUGAUACGGACGAUAAAGUGUACGCUUGUCUCUGUUAAUCAAAUACUUUAGAUGUUUUCUUCUCUGGUAUUAUAUUUACCAGCGGGCGAUAUUGAUACAUAUAUCCCUAUGGGUUAGGGUUGCCACCUUUUUUCUAUACACAUAUAGUAUUUUUGUCAAAAUAUUGAAAAAAAUAUAGUAUUUACUGGGAAAUUUGAAAAAAAAAUAGGGCCGAUUUGAGGCGAAUUAAAAAUCCAAGUCGCAUACGAUGCGAUAUCGGUGACAUUUGUAUACCCCAUUCUUGAGUGAUCAAUAUAGUAUUUUUCGUACUAUAUUGUUUUUUAUGGGUGGCAACCCUACUAUGGGUACAGUAAGAAUGCGCCACGCACUGCCAUUUACUUAUUUGCCGUUUUAGUCCAGGUUUUAAGCUUGACCCUUGCGCUUUCAAACUAUCUCUUUCCAGCUCGUAAGUGCGUCUCUCUCGACCCGCGACAGAGGAUGAUGUAACGGCGACUGUUAAGAGCUUAAUGUUGUUAUGUUCCUCAUUUUAAGUGAUUUUCUUAUAUUAAAAAAUGUAUACUCUAUGUAAAAUCUAGAAUAUAGUUAUUUUUCGUUGUUUUAGAGCUUAUUUUUUAGAAUUAGCGAAUUUACUGUAUGACGAAAAAAUUAAUUGAAAAAUGUGUAUAUAAA